rnacentral:rRNA from 2 species
GGACUACAGGGGUUUCUAAUCCUGUUUGCUCCCCACGCUUUCGUGCCUGAGCGUCAGUGUUAGCCCAGGGGGCUGCCUUCGCCAUCGGUGUUCCUCCGCAUCUCUACGCAUUUCACUGCUACACGCGGAAUUCCACCCCCCUCUGCCACACUCCAGCUCGCUAGUUUCCAUCGCAGUUCCCAGGUUAAGCCCGGGGCUUUCACGACGGACACAACGAACCGCCUGCGCACGCUUUACGCCCAGUAAUUCCGAUUAACGCUCGCACCCUACGUAUUACCGCGGCUGCUGGCAC